AUGGCUGUCGUCAGCUCGUGUCGUGAGAUGUUCGGUUAAGUCCGCUAACGAGCGCAACCCCCGCUGUGUGUUAUAUGUGUCACACGGGACUGCCGGUCUUAAGCCGGAGGAAGGUGGGGGAUGAUGUCAAGGUCAGCAUGGCCUUUAUAUCCUGGGCUACACACACGCUACAAUGGCCAACACAAUAGGUUGCUAAGCCGCGAGGUGGCGCCAAUCCAUAAAGUUGGUCUCAGUUCAGAUUGUAGGCUGCAACCCGCCUGCAUGAAGAUGGAGUUGCUAGUAACCGCAGGUCAGCUAUACUGCGGUGAAUACGUUCCCGGGGCUU
rnacentral:rRNA from 1 species